CCUACGGGAGGCAGCAGUGGGGGAUAUUGCACAAUGGGGGAAACCCUGAUGCAGCGACGCCGCGUGGGUGAAGAAGCGCCUCGGCGCGUAAAGCCCUGUCAGCAGGGAAGAAAAUGACGGUACCUGAAGAAGAAGCCCCGGCUAACUACGUGCCAGCAGCCGCGGUAAUACGUAGGGGGCAAGCGUUAUCCGGAUUUACUGGGUGUAAAGGGGGCGCAGACGGGGUUGCAAGCCAGGAGUGAAAGCCCGGGGCCCAACCCCGGGACUGCACUUGGAACUGGGUGGCUAGAGUGCAGGAGGGGCAGGCGGAAUUCCUGGUGUAGCGGUGAAAUGCGUAGAUAUCAGGAGGAACACCGGUGGCGAAGGCGGCCUGCUGGACUGCAACUGACGUUGAGGCCCGAAAGCGUGGGGAGCAAACAGGAUUAGAUACCCGAGUAGUC
rnacentral:rRNA from 1 species